GAGAUCGGUAGUUCGUCAGUGGCUCAAAACCUGAAGGCCGCAGGUUCAAAUCCUGCCCGAGCUCA
rnacentral:tRNA from 3 species